rnacentral:tRNA from 1 species
GGAGAGAUGGCUGAGCUCGGUUUAAGGCACUCGACUCGAAAUCGAACGUAGGCUUAACACCUACCGUGGGUUCGAAUCCCACUCUCUCCGCCA